AGAUAUGAAUGAAUGUAAGAAUUGAACCAUGAUAAAACGCGACGUGCACUACAAAUUGAAGGUAUGAAAUUAAGUUAAAUGAAAGCUCGUUUAUUCACCAUAUGAUGCUCGUUAUGAGGUAAUCAUAUAGGCUAGAUACCGUGAGUUAACGAGGUCGUUUACAUGCACGUGAGUGCACGGAUAUCGGUUAAUUAUUCAAAUUACUGAAAAACACGGAGAAAACCGCAACCGCAUCGUCAUGUGUUUUUCUAAGAUGUAUGCAAACAGGGAAAAUAUUGCCAAACCAACAAUUAAUUUUACCUCAGAAUAUGCACAGAUUGGAUGCAUUGUGUGUUGUAAGCUUUUCGUGGCGCUAGAUGUCAGACAGAUGCAAAUAGCAAAUACAUACGAAAGUGUAAAACGUGUAUGGCGAACAUUUGUUUUUCUGUCAUUAUAGAUGCUAGUUUGGUGAAAGUACACACUGAGUGCUUAAAAUCAUUCAGAAGAGAUGCUGUUUUUAGGGCAGUUUAUUAAGAAGACCUGACAUGGAUGACUUCCAAUGAGAAACGACUGCUAAUACUUAUAUAAAUUCAUUACAGAAGGACCCUACCAGACUAUAUUUGAAUACGGCAUACCCGUGAAUUCUGGAACUGUUAUUCCUUAACCCAGUUUGGAGGAUAAGAGCUUACCAACUAUAAAUAUGCUGAGGUGAUGUAUUGCAAAAUAGCCAACAUACAACAAUUAAAGGAUAAUUGCAGACUACGUCCUGAUGAAGAUAUGGAUGACCCUCUGUCUGGUCAACAGGAGUUUAAAUAUGGACGGGACAGUUAUGUGGCAGCUCUUCCCUGGCUCAUUCACUUCUUGCCUUCAUUUGUGAAAGGAGGAAAGACUGGAGAGGGUCAAUGUGCAACUGAAGCUACUGAUUGUGCUGUGUGAUGAGCAUCAAUCCAUGCUUUGAGGUGGAUGGAUCAGCACAGCCCUGCCUGCUCUGCGUUGGGAACAAAAGUUGCAUCCAGAAUUUUUGCAUCAUUCUGGACCAAAAAGCCAUUCCCUCCAUGAUGAAGACCACUGAUGCAGCCUUCCACUACUGUACAGUAAAACAACUACAGAACUUAAUACCAGGUUGGAACGUGUUUAAGAAAAAUGAAACGUCUUUUGAAUUGAAAUGUCUGUUUUGUUAUGGAAAAAUCUUUAGUAUUGUGAAGGAUAAGCAUUUCUGCUUGCCGAUAAGGUAAUUGCAUGUAUUUUAAUGUUCAAGUUUUGAGUAGGGUGGCUAAUUUUUUUUAACUCUUAUUUGAUUUAUUAAAGACCUUUUAUAAUAAGUGGUUUUCAUGUCACUGCGCUGUGGUAUAAGAUAACUUUCAUUAUUCCAUACUGUAUUCUGUUUCUAAUUGUAGCUGAGGU